UUAUAAUUAAUUAUUUUAAAAAUAAAAUUUUUAUAAGUUUUAAUUUUUUAUUAAAAUAAUAGUUAAAAUUUUUUUAAUUAUGAAUUUAUGAUAAAAUUAGUAUAAUUUUUUGUAAAAUUAUUAAUUUUAUAAAAUUAAAUUAAGGAAUUCGGCAAAUAAUUUUUUACCUGUUUAUUAAAAACAUGGCUUUUUGAUUAUAAUUUUAAGUCUGACCUGCCCACUGAAUUUUAAAUGGCCGCAGUAUUUUGACUGUGCAAAGGUAGCAUAAUAAUUAGUUUUUUAAUUGAAAGCUGGAAUGAAGGGUUUUAUAAAAAAAUUACUGUCUCAAUUUAAAUAUUUAAAAUUUUAUUUUUAAGUUAAAAAGCUUAAAUUAUUUUAAAAGACGAGAAGACCCCAUAGAACUUAAUAAAGUUAUUUAUUUAAGGUAUUUAGUAUAGAAAAUUUUAAAUUUAUAAGUUUAUUUUAUUGGGGUGAUAGAAAAAUUUAAUAAACUUUUUUUAUUUUAGAUCAUUUAUUUAUGAUUUUAUGAUCCUAAUAUUUAGAUUAAAAGAAAGAGUUACCUUGGGGAUAACAGCGUUAUUUUUUUAGAGAGUUCAAAUCGAAAAAAAAGAUUGCGACCUCGAUGUUGGAUUAAAAUUAAUUUUUGGUGUAGAAGCUAAUAUAUUUGGUCUGUUCGACCAUUAAAAUUUUACAUGAUCUGAGUUUAAACCGGUGUAAGCCAGGUUGGUUUCUAUCUUUAAUAAGUUAAAAUAUUUUAGUACGAAAGGACCAAAUAUUAAAUAAAUUAUUUCUAAAUUGAAUAUUAAU
rnacentral:rRNA from 1 species